rnacentral:rRNA from 1 species
ACUGAACGCUGGCGGCAGGCCUAACACAUGCAAGUCGAGCGGAUGAAGGGAGCUUGCUCCUGGAUUCAGCGGCGGACGGGUGAGUAAUGCCUAGGAAUCUGCCUGGUAGUGGGGGAUAACGUCCGGAAACGGGCGCUAAUACCGCAUACGUCCUGAGGGAGAAAGUGGGGGAUCUUCGGACCUCACGCUAUCAGAUGAGCCUAGGUCGGAUUAGCUAGUUGGUGGGGUAAAGGCCUACCAAGGCGACGAUCCGUAACUGGUCUGAGAGGAUGAUCAGUCACACUGGAACUGAGACACGGUCCAGACUCCUACGGGAGGCAGCAGUGGGGAAUAUUGGACAAUGGGCGAAAGCCUGAUCCAGCCAUGCCGCGUGUGUGAAGAAGGUCUUCGGAUUGUAAAGCACUUUAAGUUGGGAGGAAGGGCAGUAAGUUAAUACCUUGCUGUUUUGACGUUACCAACUGAAUAAGCACCGGCUAACUUCGUG